rnacentral:lncRNA from 1 species
GCCCAAUGAGCUGGCUUACAGGAAUUACAUGCGAAUAUGAAGCUGUUCGGCGUUUCACUUCCUUUCUGGAUCAUAACAGCGGACAGGUCAGCAAAACACCUGCAAAAAGUAACUAUAUGAACUGAAUAAUACCGUUUAAUAAACACUUUGCGGUCUGUAAGCACUGUAAAAACUCACAUGGAGCUGGAGAAUCCAGUCUGCGCUUGUUAAACUCGGAUAUUUGCUGGUGUAUCGGUCAGGAACUUUCAGAGACCGGAGUAAAUACAGCGUCCACGGCCAAACAGCGUAGGCUUCCCAGGUGGGAUCAGGCCCAGCAGCUUAAAGCCAGGGAGAGAUUUGGAUCCAGCAUUUAUUCAUUUGCAGUCUUUAAGAUUGGCGGAAGGACUUUGAAAAGCACAUUGAAAAGCAGAAACUCAGUCACUCUAUUGUUCUCAGCACGGCUCAUCAAAAGAAAGUUGAAGUCUGUCAUAAGAGGAAUUUUAAGGCAGACACCUGCUUUUGUUGUGGAUUGCUCCAGCAGGAGAAGAGAAGCAGAGUGA